rnacentral:rRNA from 1 species
CCUACGGGAGGCAGCAGUGGGGAAUAUUGGACAAUGAGCGCAAGCCUGACCCAGCGACACAGCGUGAAGGAAGAAGGCUUUCGGGUUGUAAACUUCUUUUAAGAGGGAAGAACAGAAGACGUUACCUCUUGAAUAAGCCACGGCUAACUACGUGCCAGCAGCCGCGGUAAUACGUAGGUGGCAAGCGUUGUCCGGAUUUACUGGGGGUAAAGGGCGUGUAUCCGGGCUGACAAGUCAGAUGUGAAAUUCCGGGGCCUAACCCCGGACCUGCCUUUGAAACUGUUGGUCUUGAGUAUCGGAGAGGUAGGCGGAAUUCCUAGUGUAGCGGUGAAAUGCGUAGAUAUUAGGAGGAACACCAGUGGCGAAGGCGGCCUGCUGGAUGACAACUGACGGUGAGGCGCGAAAGCGUGGGGAGCAAACAGGAUUAGAUACCCCUGUAGUC